CCUAGAGUUCUACCUCUAGUAUCCUACCCACCAUGCAACAAGGACGUGGUAUGAAGCGCUGGGGACAAUGUACCUAAGACAAGCCGUGAGGUGAGUCUGCGAUUGUGAAUGUCACAUGAUCAGGGGC
rfam:Osedax symbiont Rs1 5221_223, whole genome shotgun sequence.